UCCUUUCUGUAAAAUGACAGGGCUGCCCACAGUGAUCUCUGAGGUCUGUUCCAAGCUCUAAACCCGUGAUCCCAUGAGGAUGGCCAAGGUUUGCACCCAGGAGCUGCUAUGAGUGUAACUCGCCAUAGAGUAACGUGUUUCCUUUAGACUGGUGGUAAGAAGGUAAAGCCUCUUUUCAUCUCAGGAUACCAGAAUCACUUCGAACUGGUAAACAGCUGAAGGAUGUGGUAGGAGAGGAAUUUUCCACUGAGUGCACUAAGGACCUUGGAGAGAGGCUGCUUCGGUCAGAUGUUGAGGACCAGACUACAAACCAAGGGGCUGAGAAGUGAGUGGGAGGUAAGAAAA